rnacentral:rRNA from 1 species
UGGGGAAUUUUGCGCAAUGGGCGAAAGCCUGACGCAGCAACGCCGCGUGGAGGAUGAAGGUUUUCGGAUCGUAAACUCCUUUCAAUAGUGAUGAAAUUGACAGUAGCUAUAAAAGAAGCCCCGGCUAAAUACGUGCCAGCAGCCGCGGUAAUACGUAUGGGGCAAGCGUUAUCCGGAUUCAUUGGGCGUAAAGAGCGCGUAGGUGGAUUGUUAAGCGAGAUGUGAAAACCGGGGGCUCAACCCGCGGCCUGCAUCUCGAACUGGCAGUCUUGAGUUUGGUAGAGGAGUGUGGAAUUCCUAGUGUAGCGGUGGAAUGCGCAGAUAUUAGGAGGAACACCAGUGGCGAAGGCGGCACUCUGGGCCAAUACUGACACUGAGGCGCGAAAGCUAGGGGAGCAAACAGG